rnacentral:pre_miRNA from 1 species
CGGAGGAACAACCCCAGUGGCUAUGGCACCUCUGGAAACCUGGGUUCAGUCCACGCAGUAACUCUGGAGCUCUCCGUCUGCAGGGCCUGGAUGCUCCGGGGCAGG